CCAAAACAAUUUCCUUUCACGUUCAUCAUUUUGACACUUGCCGUGAAUGGGAGAUACACGCUGCACGUCCAACGGAUUCCCCACCACCUGCCAUGGUUUGUGCCAUGUGUGUGCACUCCUCACUUGUUUAUUUCUGUCCCUCGUCGGCCCGGAACAAUAGAAAGUUAUUCGCGGCGCAAUCGUGUGAAUUCUUCGUGGGUGCAGUCACAACAAUAGCGCCCGAAAUGAGCAUCCAGUUACAAAGUGGAGGGCAGCGCCGUUUUGCAUUUAUAAGUGAGAAACAAAGCGUCGCCUUCGCGCGAAAAAAGUGGCUCUGAACAAUGCGGAUUCAGCAGAUCUGUAGGGCGCAGGCUGGCAGGACCGGGGUGUUGAAGGAAUAAAAUAAACAAACAGUAGCGACAAUUACACUCAUUGCUUGUAAGGUUCGAUCAGUACAGCACUGGGGGAGGAGUGGCCAUCGCCUUGUGACAAAAAAAUGAAUGCCGGCUACUGCCAAGUUUUCAACUCCAAAUCAACGAAUCAUCGCGGCGUAAGUAAACAUGCGAGAUGGAUCCCUGAGACAAGACAUCAUCAAGUUAACAUGGCGGCGCGGGUGGUACAUCACCGCUGGCGACCUCUACGCAAAAUAACAAG